rnacentral:ncRNA from 2 species
UCUAUACUUAUAAGAUCAGGUGUCAUUGACAUAAUAGAUAAGCCGGUGCAAGACCGGCGCGGUCCCGCCGCUGUAAGGAUGAGCCAGCUGCAGAACGCCACUGUACGAAUACGUAUGGGAAGGCGCAGUAUGGUGAUGAACCCGAGCCAGAAGAACUGCCUGAUUGAUAAUCACCGA